UACAGAGGGUGCGAGCGUUGUUCGGAAUUAUUGGGCGUAAAGGGCGCGUAGGCGGUGCGGUAAGUCACCUGUGAAAUCUCCUGGCUCAACUGGGAGCUUGCAGGCGAAACUGCCGUGCUGGAGUGUGGGAGAGGUGCGUGGAAUUCCUGGUGUAGCGGUGAAAUGCGCAGAUAUCAGGAGGAACACCGGUGGCGAAGGCGGCGACCUGGACGGACACUGACGCUGAGACGCGAAAGCGUGGGGAGCAAACAGG
rnacentral:rRNA from 1 species